CCACUAACCAACGCCCGCCGGUGGUCACUCAUACUCGAGUCAAAUUGCAGACAGGUCGGCCGGUUUGUCCAGACAGGAUGUCCUUCACGCUUGAAGGUCACGAGAAACAUUACGUAAAACUGGCAUGUGGUGGUUUAGAGGUUGGGUGAGAACGACACGUGUUUCAACAUUAUCAAGCAGACCCAUCCCCAGCAACGUCACCUGCAGAAGGAAAGG